rnacentral:rRNA from 1 species
GAUGAACGCUGGCGGUAUGCUUAACACAUGCAAGUCGAACGGACUCUUCGGAGUUAGUGGCGGACGGGUGAGUAACGCGUGAGAAUCUGGCUUUGGGUUCGGGACAACCACUGGAAACGGUAGCUAAUACCGGAUGUGCCGAGAGGUAAAAGAGAAAUUGCCUGAAGAUGAGCUCGCGUCUGAUUAGCUAGUUGGUGAGGUAAAGGCUCACCAAGGCAGCGAUCAGUAGCUGGUCUGAGAGGAUGACCAGCCACACUGGGACUGAGACACGGCCCAGACUCCUACGGGAGGCAGCAGUGGGGAAUUUUCCGCAAUGGGCGAAAGCCUGACGGAGCAAUACCGCGUGAGGGAAGAAGGCUCUUGGGUUGUAAACCUCUUUUCUUAGGGAAGAACAAAAUGACGGUACCUAAGGAAUCAGCAUCGGCUAACUCCGUG